UAGCCUAAGACUGGUUUUAUAAUAACAGUAGGCCAUUAUUCAUAUUAGCAUUAUCAUUAUAGUCAUGAAUACAGUCUUCUCUUGACUAUAGGGAACACAGUGCUUUUAGAUUUCCUAGCAUCCAUUUAGCUUCCAUUUUAAAAAUAGAACAACACUAAGAACUUCUAUAUUAUAUGCACUAUGAAGCCAUAUAUUGUAGCUCAUUAAUUUAUUUGGUAAUAAAGUGCUAAUUAGUGAUAUAACACUGACUCAAACAAGUUAGCUGAAUGGUUUUAAUAAUCAUAGAACACACCCUGAAUCUCCAUCAGACUUAUUUUAUUCAUUCAGUUGGUCAAAAGAAGAAAUAGAACAAAUGUGAUGAAUGAAAACACAUCCAUAAAUUAUACUAGAAAAAAUAGCUCAAAAUAUAUGUCUAGCAGAGUUAUUCAGUGCUGUUAACUCCAACUUCCUUAUUAGCAUUUCAUUACUACAUAAUACAGUUGAAUUCAAUCCUCGAGCUGGUUUUGCUUUAUUUGAUGGUUAUAUCAGGGAUACAUAUUCUAGUGCAUCCAAUAGGAAGCCACAUUAGCACAUUGGACCUUGAUGAACUUAAUCUAAAAUUAUAAUCUUCAAUAACCUUGUAAUACUACAUAGAAUAUAACUGAGCCAAUAAAACAUACUUAUUUUUGUUUACCUUUCAAUUUACACAUAAGUUAAAUCUACAUUUUAUCUAAUUAAAACCAGAUUGUUGGACUCUCAAAUGCCUUGAGAAAUCUAUCACUUAUUGAAGUGCAUGGCACUUUUAAAACAUAAAUGAAAACUUCAGAGAAUUACAAUUUAUAUUACACAAAUACAACUUCUGUCAAUUCUGUCACAGUCUAAACAUAACCAGCUGCCUCUGCAAUGAUAUCAAGUGGCAAUUAAAAUAGCACCAGUAAUGUUACACUACAGUGAGGUGCAGAAAAUAUUUUGUCUGGUAAAAGCAAGAAUUAUAUUUAGAUGGUUGAGAUUCAUGUUCCAUAUUAAAAGAACAAAUGUUCUGAAAGAUUAGUCUUUGGUGCCAUCAUGUCUAUUUGUGCAUAAUCUUGGACACAGGGUGGCUUGCAUGAGCCAGAUAUCUGUCUUGUUCAACUUUAGUCCGCUAAGCCGUGGUCUCCAAGUAUCUUCUGCAGACCAUUAGUUCAAUGAAAUACUAAUAGGAAUUUUGUCAAAAAAUAAGUUCUAUGAUCACAUAGGAUUUGGAAAUGCUAUGUUAAGCUUGCACAUUUUUCUCUCCAAUGAAUUGUCAACUCUUUAAUGUACUCACAUGCAUUAUGGAUUUUUUAGAGAAAAUGCAUAACUUCCCCCAAAUUAUUUAAUUAUAGAACACAUGCCAGAAUAACCAUUAACUUUUAGAUAAAAUAUAUGUUUGGGACAAGCAAAGUUGGAAAAAAUUGUUUUGUUAUCUGAUAUUUGCUUAAGGCAUCAAAGAAGUUAACACCAGG
rnacentral:lncRNA from 1 species